GCUCAUCUAAUCCAGAGGCAGGAAAGAAGGGUAGUGGUGCAUUGUACCCAUCCACAUGGAUCAAUAACCUAGUUAGGAGCCAACAUGUCCUUGCCUGUGAUCUUUAACUAUCUGGUAUUAUGAUUUGAACACUAUUGAGGAAAGAAUUGUGGAUGAGGCAGCAGUGAAUUACCCAAGACUUUCUGGAUGCUCUCCUGCUUCCAGAUACAUUGGCUUCCCCAGAUGGGGUCCAUGCCACAAAACCUUAAGGCCGGUUGAGAAGAAGUUUGGUUGAGCACUAUUUAUCCACAGAUCUCCAGCCAGAGUAUUCCAUAAGCCCCUUGAGGGCAUGGACUACAUCUUUUACUAUGGUCCCCACAGUUUUCUUGCACAGAUUUGUGUACACAGUGGAUACUUAAUAAAUACUUAUUGACUUACA
rnacentral:lncRNA from 1 species